UGGACAGAUUAUUGUAUUCGACUGUAUUCACAGCAUGGAAUGGGGGAUUACAUUGUUUUAAAUGGAAAAUGAAUAAAUUAACAUAAUAGACUCAU
rnacentral:pre_miRNA from 1 species